GACGAACGCUGGCGGCGUGCCUAAUACAUGCAAGUAGAACGCUGAAGAGAGGAGCUUGCUCUUCUUGGAUGAGUUGCGAACGGGUGAGUAACGCGUAGGUAACCUGCCUGGUAGCGGGGGAUAACUAUUGGAAACGAUAGCUAAUACCGCAUGAUAUUAAUUGUCGCAUGAUAAUUAAUUGAAAGAUGCAAUUGCAUCACUACCAGAUGGACCUGCGUUGUAUUAGCUAGUUGGUGAGGUAACGGCUCACCAAGGCGACGAUACAUAGCCGACCUGAGAGGGUGAUCGGCCACACUGGGACUGAGACACGGCCCAGACUCCUACGGGAGGCAGCAGUAGGGAAUCUUCGGCAAUGGGGGGAACCCUGACCGAGCAACGCCGCGUGAGUGAAGAAGGUUUUCGGAUCGUAAAGCUCUGUUGUAAGAGAAGAACGGGUGUGAGAGUGGAAAGUUCACACUGUGACGGUAUCUUACCAGAAAGGGACGGCUAACUACAUACCAGCCGCCGCAGUAA
rnacentral:rRNA from 1 species